AACCCCUGCAUUCAGUUGCCAUCGGGUAAUGCCGGGCACUCUGGAAGGACUGCCAUCGACAAGAUGGAGGAAGUGGGGGAUGACGUCAAGUCAUCAUGGCCCUUAUGUCCAGGGCGACACACGUGCUACAAUGGCCGGCACAACGGGAAGCGAGUUCGCGAGGACGAGCGGAUCCCUCAAAGCCGGUCGCAGUUCGGAUUGAAGUCUGCAACUCGACUUCAUGAAGCUGGAAUCGCUAGUAAUCGUGGAUCAGCCAAGCCGCGGUGAAUACGUUCCCGGGCCUU
rnacentral:rRNA from 1 species